UACGUAGGGCGCAAGCGUUAUCCGGAAUUAUUGGGCGUAAAGAGCUCGUAGGCGGUUUGUCGCGUCUGCCUGAAAGUCCGGGGCUCAACUCCGGAUCUGCGGUGGGUACGGGCAGACUAGAGUGAUGUAGGGGAGACUGGAAUUCCUGGUGUAGCGGUGAAAUGCGCAGAUAUCAGGAGGAACACCGAUGGCGAAGGCAGGUCUCUGGGCAUUAACUGACGCUGAGGAGCGAAAGCAUGGGGAGCGAACAG
rnacentral:rRNA from 1 species